rnacentral:misc_RNA from 1 species
GUACAUUAGUGCUUGCGCACGACAAUAAAUUUCAUUACAUUCGAGUUUGUGUAAAAAUCCUCUGCCGGCCGAAGCUAGCAAGAGGCCAAAGGUUCACAGGGUAUUGGAUGAAAGUCACCGACGUGCACAUGCCGAAGCCGGCCAGCACUGACGGCGACGAUUCGCAAUCAAUAAUGAUCCUUCCGCAGGUUCACCUACGGAAA